AAGCGGAGGAAAAGAAACUAACCAGGAUUGCCUCAGUAAGGGCGACUGAAGUGGCAAUAGCUCACCAUGUGAAUCUGCGCCUGGAGCGCCGAAUUGUGGUCUCGCUUGUGCUAUUGGGCUGGGCUAAGUCCGUUGGAACGCGGCAGCUUAGAGGGUGAGACUCCCGUAAGCCUGGUCCUUUGAGCAAGUGUAUACGAGUCGAGUUGUUUGGGAUUGCAGCUCUAAGCGGGUGGUAAAUUCCAUCGAAAGCUAAAUACUGGUGGGAGACCGAUAGCGUACAAGUACCGUGAGGGAAAGAUGCAAAGAAGCGCGAAAGCGCUGUUAAAGAGUACCUGAACUUGCUGAAAUGGAAGCGAAGGAAACCAGUGCUAGCUGCGUCAUACUUCCUUGGUUGCUUGCGGCCGGGGCGCUGUGGCCAGCGUUGUCAGGCUUGGCUGGGUGGUGUGGAAUAGCCUUGGGGAGAGUUGAUCCUCUUGGUUUGCAUGCUGUCUGGCUGAGGUUGACGAAAUGGUUUUCUUUUUCCCGUCUAGAAACACGGACCAAGGAGUCUAACAUAUGUGCGAGUACAUGGGUGCCAAACCCUGAUGCGCAAUGAAAGUAACAGUGGCUGGAAAUUUGCACAGUCCGCCGGCCUCAAUCCUUCGGGAGAACGGUCUGAGUGUGAGCAUACAUGUUGGGACCCGAAAGAUGGUGAACUAUGCCUGAGUAGGGCGAAGCCAGGGGAAACUCUGGUGGAGGCUCGUAGGGAUUCUGACGUGCAAAUCGAUCUUCAAACUUGGGUAUAGGGGCGAAAGACUAAUCGAACCAUAC
rnacentral:rRNA from 1 species